rnacentral:rRNA from 1 species
CAAUAGCGUAUAUUAAAGUUGUUGCGGUUAAAAAGCUCGUAGUUGGAUUUCUGCCGAGGACGACCGGUCCGCCCUCUGGGUGAGUAUCUGGCUCGGCCUGGGCAUCUUCUUGGAGAACGUAGCUGCACUUGACUGUGUGGUGCGGUAUCCAGGACUUUUACUUUGAGGAAAUUAGAGUGUUUCAAGCAGGCUUACGCCUUGAAUACAUUAGCAUGGAAUAAUAAGAUAGGACCUCGGUUCUAUUUUGUUGGUUUCUAGAGCUGAGGUAAUGAUUAAUAGGGAUAGUUGGGGGCAUUCGUAUUUAACUGUCAGAGGUGAAAUUCUUGGAUUUGCUAAAGACGGACUACUGCGAAAGCAUUUGCCAAGGAUGUUUUCAUUG